AGGAAAUCAAACGGGAGAGUGUGAAGCACCACUUGUAAAUAUUCUGAAGGAGUUGUGAGCACUACGGAUGAAGGGAGGAAAUCACUGCAUGGGAGUUAGGAAAUCAUCACGGAAAAAGAUCAUGGUUAUUGGAACUGUUUUCCACAUUGAAGAUUGUUUUUUUUUCACUGUAAAUAAACUCACUGUCGCUUCUUAGGAAGUCCUGCAUUUGGGUCCUGUUACUCCCUCAAACCUGACAGUUUAAGUCUAGAAUGGAUUUAAACUCCCAGUCAGAAGCAUCAGACUGUACAGAGGGAUCUGGGGGUGUUCUUCUUCAUCAGGGGUUGAAAAAUUGCAUGCUUGAAGAAAGAUGGAAGAGUAUCAACCAUGGAGAGGAUGCCUGGACAACAAUGUCAAAUAUUAAUCUUUUAGAGGAGUGAAGGACAUAGUGUCUGUGGUUCAGGCAACAUCCUCACCACUUUCUCCACUUUUCCUCGAGGCAAACAUGCAGCUUUAUAAAUGGAAAUACGGCUGAGGAUGUAUGAAGCCUGCAGGAACAGAAAACAAGGUGCUGCUUUGUCAUGGAGACCAGCCCACAAACCUUUUCUAAAAAAUAUGAGCUUUUAAAACUUCACAAAUGACUGCCAAGUUCUCCUACAUGAUAUCAUGGAACUGCAUUUAAACAGCACACUGCAUCCUGCA
ensembl:lncRNA